rnacentral:rRNA from 1 species
UAGGGAAUCUUCGGCAAUGGACGGAAGUCUGACCGAGCAACGCCGCGUGAGUGAAGAAGGUUUUCGGAUCGUAAAGCUCUGUUGUAAGAGAAGAACGAGUGUGAGAGUGGAAAGUUCACACUGUGACGGUAACUUACCAGAAAGGGACGGCUAACUACGUGCCAGCAGCCGCGGUAAUACGUAGGUCCCGAGCGUUAUCCGGAUUUAUUGGGCGUAAAGCGAGCGCAGGCGGUCAGAUAAGUCUGAAGUUAAAGGCUGUGGCUUAACCAUAGUACGCUUUGGAAACUGUUUAACUUGAGUGCAGAAGGGGAGAGUGGAAUUCCAUGUGUAGCGGUGAAAUGCGUAGAUAUAUGGAGGAACACCGGUGGCGAAAGCGGCUCUCUGGUCUGUAACUGACGCUGAGGCUCGAAAGCGUGGGGAGCAAACAGGAUUAGAUACCCUGGUAGUCCACGCCGUAAACGAUGAGUGCUAGGUGUUGGGUCCUUUCCGGGACUCAGUGCCGCAGCUAACGCAUUAAGCACUCCGCCUGGGGAGUACGACCGCAAGGUUG